UGCUGCUCAGAGAUGGCCAAUGUGUGGGGGAAAUGAUGGAAGGUUGGCUGAGCAAGAUUUCAGAGAUCAUAGUCAAAGUGUUUCUGUGUUACUUUGUGUGGCUGCUACUUUUCUGUGUCCAAUAUUCUUCAGAGUUUUGCAUAUUAUAGCAUAUCAGCUCAAUUUUGUGGACAACAAGACAACAACUCAGAUGAAACUCAAUUACAAAAGUAUGUGUGAGCAAAGCAUCAAUUUGCCCCCGUAGAAUCUUGGAGUGUUUUAAUUUUGUGUGCUCUUGUUUUGCUAUUUGGGUCAUUAUUGAGUCUUUUCCUUCUGGUUUCAGAUGUGUGUUAGCUGCUGUCAUUUCCCCUCCCCAGAGACCAGACACUCCUGGUGGCCACCUUUUCUAAGGUUUUUAGAAAAGACAAAGAAUAGAAACAAAGCCUUGACAUUCAUGGUUAACUACCUUCCUCUUUCUCUUCCUCCCUUCUUCU
rnacentral:lncRNA from 1 species